UGCCAGCCGCCGCGGUAAUACGGAGGGUGCAAGCGUUAUCCGGAAUUACUGGGUUUAAAGGGUGCGUAGGCGGAACUAUAAGUCAGAGGUGAAAUCACACAGCUUAACUGUGUAACUGCCUUUGAUACUGUAGAUCUUGAAUUAGGUUGAGGUUAGCGGAAUGUGACAUGUAGCGGUGAAAUGCAUAGAUAUGUCAUAGAACACCAAUUGCGAAGGCAGCUAGCUAAGCUAUGAUUGACGCUGAGGCACGAAAGCGUGGGGAGCGAACAGGAUUAGAA
rnacentral:rRNA from 1 species